UCCCUGGUGGUCUAGCGGCUAGGGAUCCCUCGCUCUCACCGCUGCGGUCUGGGUUCAUUUCCCAGGCAGGGAA